GACGAACGCUGGCGGCGUGCCUAAUACAUGCAAGUUGAGCGAUGAAGAUUGGUGCUUGCACCAAUUUGAAGAGCAGCGCACGGGUGAGUAACGCGUGGGGAAUCUGCCUUUGAGCGGGGGACAACAUUUGGAAACGAAUGCUAAUACCGCAUAACAACUUUAAACAUAAGUUUUAAGUUUGAAAGAUGCAAUUGCAUCACUCAAAGAUGAUCCCGCGUUGUAUUAGCUAGUUGGUGAGGUAAAGGCUCACCAAGGCGAUGAUACAUAGCCGACCUGAGAGGGGGAUCGGCCACAUUGGGACUGAGACACGGCCCAAACCCCUACGGGAGGCAGCAGUAGGGAAUCUUCGGCAAUGGACGAAAGGCUGACCGAGCAACGCCGCGGGAGGGAAGAAGGGUGUCGGAUCGUAAAAAUCUGUUGGUAGAGAAGAACGUUGGUGAGAGUGGAAAGCUCAUCAAGUGACGGUAACUACCCAGAAAGGGACGGCUAACUACGUG
rnacentral:rRNA from 1 species